rnacentral:rRNA from 1 species
AGAGUUUGAUCCUGGCUCAGAGCGAACGCUGGCGGCAGGCUUAACACAUGCAAGUCGAGCGGACCUUUCGGGGUCAGCGGCGGACGGGUGAGUAACGCGUGGGAACGUGCCUUCCGGUUCGGAAUAACCCUGGGAAACUAGGGCUAAUACCGGAUACGCCCUUAUGGGGAAAGGUUUACUGCCGGAAGAUCGGCCCGCGUCUGAUUAGCUAGUUGGUGGGGUAACGGCCUACCAAGGCGACGAUCAGUAGCUGGUCUGAGAGGAUGAUCAGCCACACUGGGACUGAGACACGGCCCAGACUCCUACGGGAGGCAGCAGUGGGGAAUAUUGGACAAUGGGCGCAAGCCUGAUCCAGCCAUGCCGCGUGAGUGAUGAAGGCCUUAGGGUUGUAAAGCUCUUUUAUCCGGGACGA